AGUUGCUCUUCUAGCUCAGCGCCUUCUAGUUCGUCAAGUUCUGCUUCCAAUUCAUCCU
rnacentral:sRNA from 1 species